CCGGCUAGGGUUUUUUUUUUGUUUUACCAUGCUACCGAACAGGGCAGUUAGUUAAAAAGCCACCUGACAAGGAAAAACGACCAAAGCUAUAUAGUUGCCACGGGCUUUCAUCCAGAUGAUUAAGUUGAACUGUAUGUUCUUGAAUACUCUUACUUGCUAGCAUAUAACCUCUUCAAUAAUAAAGGCAAUUAAGGAAAUUCAAUAUCCCAAUGCAUGAUAUAUCUUUUUCUGCAGUCACCCAAUGCAAUGGUUGUGUAUGUGCUUUUCAUGUUUGC
rnacentral:lncRNA from 1 species